AUGGAUUGGGGAUUUGGGGGGGGAACUAGGGUUAGGCGGCAGCGGCGGCGAUUCCUUGAGGGGUGCGGCGGAGGAGGCGAUUGCACAGGGGGCGGCGGCGGCUGCGUCGAGGGCAAUGUCGUGCUGUUUGGGUGGCUAGCCGCUGGAAGGAGAGGGGAGGAAUCGAGGUCGCUGGUGCCGUACCACAAGAACCCGAUGGCGUACGAUCCAGCGAAGCUCUGCUGGUGCAACCCCCGUCGGAAGGCGCCAAGUUGGAUCUCGUGGAGCCGUCAGAACCCAGGCAGGAGGUACUACGCCUGCGUUGAUGCCAUGGUGAGCUUCAAGUUGGUGUUUAUUUUCUGUUCAUUUGUUUUCCUUUGUUUUUCUCCCCUCUCAUUGAUUUCUGUUGGUACAAUUGAACAGCAUGGUGGUUGUGGAUUCGUGGAAUGGCAUGAUGAUCCUCUUCCCAAGUUUUGGAGUGAUUUGAUUGGUGAUUUGCGAGAUGAAGUGUGUAGGCUGAGAGGUCAAGGAAGUGUUGCCGUGAUUGAAGAUCCCACUGCAGUUGUGGCUCUGCAUGAAGAUGAAACAGGAGCAAUGGGAAUGGCUAUGUCUCUGCAAGAUCAGUUGAAGUAG
rnacentral:rRNA from 1 species